rnacentral:rRNA from 1 species
UAGAAGUUUGAUCCUGGCUCAGAGUGAACGCUGGCGGCGUGCCUAACACAUGCAAGUCGAGCGAGAACGGGUUAAAGUUUACUUUAACUGUCAGCUAAGUGGCGCACGGGUGAGUAAUAUAUAGUUAAUCUGCCCCAAAGAAGAGAAUAAUUGUUGGAAACGACUUGUAACUCUCUAUAUGCCUUUAUCACAAAAGUGAGCAAGGGAAACAUUUAUGGCUUUGGGAUGAGACUGUACGGUAUCAGUUAGUUGGUAAGGUAAUGGCUUACCAAGACUAUGACGCCUAACUGGUUUGAGAGGAUGAUCAGUCACACUGGAACUGAGACACGGUCCAGACUCCUACGGGAGGCAGCAGUGGGGAAUAUUGCACAAUGGAGGAAACUCUGAUGCAGCAACGCCGCGUGGAGGAUGACACAUUUCGGUGCGUAAACUCCUUUUAUAUGAGAAGAUAAUGACGGUAUCAUAUGAAUAAGCACCGGCUAACUCCGUGCCAGCAGCCGCGGUAAUACGGGGGGUGCAAGCGUUACUCGGAAUCACUGGGCGUAAAGAGCAUGUAGGCGGAUAGAUAAGUUGGAAGUGAAAUCCUAUGGCUUAACCAUAGAACCGCUUCCAAAACUGUCUAUCUAGAAUAUGGGAGAGGUAGAUGGAAUUUCUGGUGUAGGGGUAAAAUCCGUAGAGAUCAGAACGAAUACCGAUUGCGAAGGCGAUCUACUGGACAUUAUUGACGCUCAGAUGCGAAAGCGUGGGGAGCAAACAGGAUAGAUACCCUGGUAGUCCACGCCUUAACGAUGCACACUAGUUGUUGCCUUGCUAGACAAGGCAGUAAUGCAGUUAACACAGUAAGUGUGCCGCCUGGGGAGUACGGUCGCAAGAUUAAAACUCAAAGGAAUAGACGGGGACCCGCACAAGCGGUGGAGCAUGUGGUUUAAUUCGACGAUACGCGAAGAACCUUACCUGGCCUUGACAUAGAGAGAACUUACUAGAGAUAGUUUGGUGCUAGCUUGCUAGAACUUUCAUACAGGUGCUGCACGGCUGUCGUCAGCUCGUGUCGUGAGAUGUUGGGUUAAGUCCCGCAACGAGCGCAACCCUCGUGUUUAGUUACUAACAGUUCGGCUGAGGACUCUAGACAGACUGCCUACGCAAGUAGGAGGAAGGUGAGGACGACGUCAAGUCAUCAUGGCCCUUACGGCCAGGGCUACACACGUGCUACAAUGGGGUAUACAAAGAGCCGCAAUACCGUGAGGUGGAGCAAAUCUCAUAAAAUGCCUCCCAGUUCGGAUUGUAGUCUGCAACUCGACUACAUGAAGUUGGAAUCGCUAGUAAUCGUAGAUCAGCUAUGCUACGGUGAAUACGUUCCCGGGUCUUGUACUCACCGCCCGUCACACCAUGGGAGUUGAUUUCAUUCGAAGCGGGGAUGCUAAAAUAGCUACCUUCCACAGUGGGAUUAGCGACUAGGGUGAAGUCGUAACAAGGUAGCCGUA